rnacentral:rRNA from 1 species
UACGGAGGGAGCUAGCGUUGUUCGGAUAUACUGGGCGUAAAGCGCACGUAGGCGGCGCAGCAAGUCAGGGGUGAAAUCCCGGAGCUCAACUCCGGAACUGCCUUUGAAACUGCAGUGCUAGAAUUCUGGAGAGGCGGGUGGAAUUCCGAGUGUAGAGGUGAAAUUCGUAGAUAUUCGGAAGAACACCAGUGGCGAAGGCGACUGACUGGACAAGUAUUGACGCUGAGGUGCGAAAGCGUGGGGAGCAAACAGG